GAUGAACGCUGGCGGCGUGCUUAACACAUGCAGGUCGAACGGAAAGGCCCAAGCUUGCUUGGGUACUCGAGUGGCGAACGGGUGAGUAACACGUGGGUGAUCUGCCCUGCAUUUCGGGAUAAGCCUGGGAAACUGGGUCUAAUACCGGAUAGGACCACAUUUUGGAUGGUGUGGUGUAAAGUUUUUCGGUGUGGGAUGAGCUCGCGGCCUAUCAGCUUGUUGGUGGGGUAAUGGCCUACCAAGGCGUCGACGGGUAGCCGGCCUGAGAGGGUGUACGGCCACAUUGGGACUGAGAUACGGCCCAGACUCCUACGGGAGGCAGCAGUGGGGAAUAUUGCACAAUGGGCGCAAGCCUGAUGCAGCGACGCCGCGUGGGGGAUGACGGCCUUCGGGUUGUAAACUCCUUUCGCUAGGGACGAAGCGCAAGUGACGGUACCUGGAGAAGAAGCACCGGCUAACUACGUG
rnacentral:rRNA from 1 species